UGGGAUAUCGCCAAGCUGUAAGGCAACGGACUUUGACUCCGUCAUUCGCAGGUUCGAAUCCUGCUAUCCCAGCCA
rnacentral:tRNA from 1 species